GAUGAACGCUGGCGGCGUGCCUAAUACAUGCAAGUCGAGCGAACGGACGAGAAGCUUGCUUCUCUGAUGUUAGCGGCGGACGGGUGAGUAACACGUGGAUAACCUAUCUCUAAGACUGGGAUAACUUCGAGAAACCGGAGUUAAUACCGGGUAAUAUUUUGAACCGCAUGGUUCAAAAGUGAAAGACGGUCUUGCUGUCACUUAUCGAUGGAUCCGCGCUGCAUUAGCUAGUUGGUAAGGUAACGGCUUACCAAGGCAACGAUGCAUAGCCGACCUGAGCGGGUGAUCGGCGACACUGGGACUGAGACGCGGUCCAGACUCCUACGGGCGGCAGCAGUAGGGAAGCUUCCGCGAUGGGCGGAAGCCUGACGGAGCAACGCCGCGUGAGUGAUGAAGGUCUUCGGAUCGUAAAACGCUGUUAGGAGGGAAGAACAUAUGUGUAAGUAACUGUGCACAGCUUGACGGUACCUAAUCAGAAAGCCACGGCUAACUACGUG
rnacentral:rRNA from 1 species